CAGGCCAUGGGAAGACAUUACCUGUUGAUAACACAGACUAUUCUCAUGAUCAUGGGAGGUGUGAGAGAAUUGCUGCUCUUUGUGAUGACUGUGGGGGUUGUCAAAGUUUCUUGUUACCCUGUUGGAAAGUCCCAGAAGCAAGAUCAAGUCUCUCUGCAGAGGAGACUUGGAGAGCUGUCAUCAAAUGACGUCUCCAUUGAGCAUGCCCUGGCCUUGCUCCGAUCCAUAGGGUCUGACGCUAAACAAGACAGAGAAGAGUAUUUAGAGACUAACGAAGUAGAAUCCCAAGCUUCUCCAAACCAUGGUAGCUCUCAGGCAAAUGAUGCCCUGUCCUCUGAGGAGAAGCUGAGGCGCAUGUCCUCUGACGACGCUGCGACUGGCCCGUCUGACGACGCUACCUCUGAAGCUGCGACUGGCCCGUCUGACGACGCUACCUCUGAAGCUGCGACUGGCCCGUCUGACGACGCUACCUCUGAAGCUGCGACUGGCCCGUCUGACGACGCUACCUCUGAAGCUGCGACUGGCCCGUCUGACGACGCUACCUCUGAAGCUGCGACUGGCCCCGUCUGACGCACGCUACCUCUGAAGCUGCGACUGGCCCCGUCUGACGACGCUACCUCUGAAGCUGCGACUGGCCCCGUCUGACGACGCUACCUCUGAAGCUGCGACUGGCCCCGUCUGACGACGCUACCUCUGAAGCUGCGACUGGCCCCGUCUGACGACGCUACCUCUGAAGCUGCGACUGGCCCGUCUGACGCACGCUACCUCUGAAGCUGCGACUGGCCCGUCUGACGACGCUACCUCUGAAGCUGCGACUGGCCCGUCUGACGACGCUACCUCUGAAGCUGCGACUGGCCCCGUCUGACGACGCUACCUCUGAAGCUGCGACUGGCCCCGUCUGACGACGCUACCUCUGAAGCUGCGACUGGCCCCGUCUGACGACGCUACCUCUGAAGCUGCGACUGGCCCCGUCUGACGACGCUACCUCUGAAGCUGCGACUGGCCCCCGUCUGACGACGCUACCUCUGAAGCUGCGACUGGCCCCCGUCUGACGACGCUACCUCUGAAGCUGCGACUGGCCCCCGUCUGACGACGCUACCUCUGAAGCUGCGACUGGCCCCCCGUCUGACGACGCUACCUCUGAAGCUGCGACUGGCCCCCCGUCUGACGAACGCUACCUCUGAAGCUGCGACUGGCCCCGUCUGACGACGCUACCUCUGAAGCUGCGACUGGCCCCGUCUGACGACGCUACCUCUGAAGCUGCGACUGGCCCCCCGUCUGACGACGCUACCUCUGAAGCUGCGACUGGCCCCCCGUCUGACGACGCUACCUCUGAAGCUGCGACUGGCCCCCCGUCUGACGACGCUACCUCUGAAGCUGCGACUGGCCCCCCGUCUGACGACGCUACCUCUGAAGCUGCGACUGGCCCCCGUCUGACGACGCUACCUCUGAAGCUGCGACUGGCCCCCCGUCUGACGACGCUACCUCUGAAGCUGCGACUGGCCCCCCGUCUGACGACGCUACCUCUAAGGAACUGUUCACCGCUUCAUCGGAGCCCCCGUUGACCACAAACAUGGAUAUCUGACGUGGGACAUGGUGCUCGGGGUCCAUGCAAGAGUUCAUGGGUACUCUAGUCCAGGUUGUCUGUGUGUGUAACUGCAUUUGCUUGUUUUGGCUCAAUUAAACAUUAACUGUAA